UGGGGAAUAUUGCGCAAUGGGGGAAACCCUGACGCAGCCAUGCCGCGUGAGUGAAGAAGGUCUUCGGAUCGUAAAGCUCUUUCAACGGUGAAGAUGAUGACGGUAGCCGUAGAAGAAGCCCCGGCUAACUCCGUGCCAGCAGCCGCGGUAAUACGGAGGGGGCAAGCGUUAUUCGGAAUUACUGGGCGUAAAGGGCGUGUAGGCGGCUUGAUAGGUCAAAGGUGAAAGCCCUCGGCUCAACCGAGGAAAUGCCUCUGAAACUGUCUGGCUCGAGGCUGGGAGAGGACAGCGGAAUUCCUGGUGUAGCGGUGAAAUGCGUAGAUAUUUGGAGGAACACCAGUGGCGAAGGCGGUCACCUGGGCCAGUACUGACGCUGAGGCGCGAAAGCGUGGGG
rnacentral:rRNA from 1 species